CUCUGCAUUUGCUAGCUAUUCUACUUGCAUGACACAGAGUUUGAAUUUUAUGGUCUUUCAUGUAAACUAAAUUUGUGUGUACUAUAACAAGAUUAAAAUCGACUUAAACAGGUAAAGAGAGAAUGGCUUGCUAAUUUUUAGCGUUUCACUGACACUACAGUAAAGGGAACAGCCAACUCUUAUGUUUGGAUUCAAGCCUAGUUUUCAUUAAAGGAUCACUAUAGGCACC